rnacentral:rRNA from 1 species
CCUACGGGAGGCAGCAGUGAGGAAUAUUGGUCAAUGGGCGCGAGCCUGAACCAGCAAAGUAGCGUGAAGGAUGACUGCCCUACGGGUUGUCAACUUUUAUCAACCGGGACGAAAGAAAUGACGGUACCUGAAUAAGAAGCCCCGGCUAACUACGUGCCGGCAGCCGGGGUAAUACGUAGGGGGCAAGCGUUAUCCUGCAUUACUGGGUGUAAGGGGUGAGUAGGCGGCAUGGUAAGCAAGAUGUGAAAGCCUUGGGAUUAACCCGAGGAUUGCAUUUGGAACUAUUACGCUAGAGUACAGGAGAGGAAAGCGGAAUUCCUAGUGUAGCGGGGAAAUGCGUAGAUAUUAGGAAGAACACCAGUGGCGAAGGCGGCUUUCUGGACUGAAACUGACGCUGAGGCACGAAAGCGUGGGGAGCGAACAGGAUUAGAUACCCGGGUAGUC